rnacentral:rRNA from 1 species
UAGAGAGAGACAUGCGCGCAUAUCAAUAAGCGGAGGAAAAGAAACUAACAAGGAUUCCCCUAGUAACGGCGAGUGAAGCGGGAAGAGCUCAAAUUUGAGAUCUUAAAGGGUUUCCCUUUACGAAUUGUAGUUUAAAGAAGUGUUUUCUGUUGAGGUUUUGGUAAAAGUUCUUUGGAAUAGGACAUCAUAGAGGGGUGAGAAUCCCGUAUUUGACCUUUACUUUCAACUUUGUGAUACACUUUCAAAGAGUCGGAUUGUUUGGGAAUGCAGUCCAAAAUGGGUGGUAAAUUUCAUCUAAAGCUAAAUAUUGGCGAGAGACCGAUAGCGAACAAGUACCGUGAGGGAAAGAUGAAAAGAACUUUGAAAAGAGAGUUAAACAGUACGUGAAAUUGUCAAAAGGGAAGCGUUUGACACCAGUGUUGUUUUUCUGAAAAUCAAUUAAAGAACUGUUCAUGCUAAGCUGUUUAGACUUUAUCAGCUAAUCUGUUUAGUUUUGAGCUUUUCUUUAAUGCACUUUUCAGUUAACAAGUCAACAUCAAUUUCUUUUGCUGUAAAAAAGCUUGAGGAAGGUGGCUUGAGAUUCGUCUUAAGUGUUUAUAGCCUCUUGCCUAUGCAGUCGGAGAGAUUGAGGUCUGCAGCGUAGAUCCUUCGGGGCUAAAGUGCAUUUGUGCUAAGUUAUAGCAUUUUAUAGACAACUUGUUGACUAUGAUUUGUCUUGUAGCUUACUCGCUUAUGUUAUUUUACCUACGCUUAGGAUGUUGACGCAUGAGAUAUACGC